UGGGGAAUCUUGCACAAUGGGGGCAACCCUGAUGCAGCGACGCCGCGUGAGCGAUGAAGCCCCUCGGGGUGUAAAGCUCUUUCGGCAGGAACGAUAAUGACGGUACCUGAAGAAGAAGCUGCGGCUAACUACGUGCCAGCAGCCGCGGUAAUACGUAGGCAGCAAGCGUUGUUCGGAAUUACUGGGCGUAAAGAGUGUGUAGGCGGUGCUCUAAGUUCGGUGUGAAAUCUCCCGGCUUAACUGGGAGGGUGCGCCGGAAACUGGAAUGCUCGAGCGUGGGAGAGGAAAGCGGAAUUCCUGGUGUAGCGGUGAAAUGCGUAGAUAUCAGGAGGAACACCUGCGGUGUAGACGGCUUUCUGGACCAUUGCUGACGCUGAGACACGAAAGCGUGGGUAGCAAACAGGAUUAGAUACCCCCGUAGUCC
rnacentral:rRNA from 1 species